rnacentral:rRNA from 1 species
AUGGUUCUCUGUCAAGGCUUAUCUGCUGGGCAGGGGCAGCUUCUUGCUUUUCCUGCUGCUAAGCCUCCUCUCUUAAGAAGAUCUUGCAUUCGUAUACCAGCGGGAUCACCGGGUCUAAAGAGUGCUCGGCUUUCAUCCAAGAGGAAGAAACUUUCAGUGCAAGCUGUACGAGCCGGCACUGGUUUUCUUCACCAUGACAUGCUCACAUCAUCUCUGAUGGAGGGUUCGAUCAAGGGCAUUCCAUCAUUAUUGACCCGGCAGAAUCAGCGUCGAAGAUCGGAAGUUGGCUGUCGAGCUUCCUCUCUAGCAUCAUUCAGCUACCCUGAAUUGACUUCCAAGCCCAGAUGGUGGUGGAGAACCCUUGCAUGUGUGCCGUACUUGCUGCCACUCCACAACAUGUGGUCGUAUGCCGAUGUCAUCUACCAGUUGCACACGUACUUGCAGGGCUUUUCAUUGGUUUAUACUUUCAUCGACACCAUGACACUGCUUCCAGGGUGGCUCUUGCUGGUGAUAUUUAUGACCGUGUACUUCUUCGUGGUGAGACGCAAGUGGUCACCCCACUUCAUGAGGUUCCAUGUGAUCUUGGCCAUCCUCCUGGACACCGGCUCCCAAGCAGUGGCAACAAUGUGCACCUGGAUGCCCAGCUUCGUGUAUCAGGGGAAGCCCAUGCAGUAUUUCUGGAUGGCCAUUGCUUUCAUGCAGAUCUUUACAGUGCUAGAGUGCAUGCGCUGUGCUCUCUGUGGGAUGUAUCCGAACGUUCCUUUCAUAUCCCACACAGCCUUCAUCCAUUCUGAUCUGAAUCUCUUCAGGUAG